CCGCCCAUUUUUCUUCUUUCUGUUUGCCGUGUAACUUCUGGUGUCUUUUUCUUUUCUUCUGGUGUCCGUCUCUAAGCUGGUGGGCAUCGUGAACCAAAUGGAAGGAAAGACCGAAAUGCCGCACUUGA
rnacentral:ribozyme from 11 species